AGUAUCAACCAGUAUAGACCUGCAUGGACCAGUAUUGACCGCUGUUUCGACCAGUAUGGACCAGUAUAGACCGGUAUCAACCAGUAUAGACCAGUAUCGACCAGUAUGGACCAGUAUGGACCAGUAUAGACCACUAUGGACCAGUAUAGACCAGUAUUGACCAGUAUAGACCAGUAUAGACCAGUAUCAACCAAUAUAGACCAGCAUGGACCAGUAUAGAACACUGUUUCGACCAGUAUAGACCAGUAUCGACCAGUAUCAACCAGUAUGGACCAGUAUCAAUCAGCAUGGACCAGUAUAGCCCCUCCCAGUCCCUCCCAGUAUAAACCAGUCCCUCCCAGUCCCUCCCAGUCCCAUCCCAGUCCAUCCCAGUCUCAUCCCAGUCCCUCCCAGUCCCGUCCCAGUAUAACCCAGUAUAACCCAGUCCAUCCCAGUCCAUCCCAGUCCCUUCCAGUCGAUCCCAGUCCCAUCCAGUCCCUCCCAGUCCCAUCCCAGUAUAACCCAGUCCCUCCCAGUAUAACCCACUCCCAUCCCAGUAUAACCCAGUCCCUCCCAGUCCCUCCCAGUAUAGCCCAGUCCCAUCCCAGUCCAUCCCAGUCCCUUCCAGUCGAUCCCAGUCCCAUCCCAGUCCCAUCCCAGUAUAACCCAGUAUAACCCACUCCCAUCCCAGUCCAUCCCAGUCCAUCCCAGUCCCUCCCAGUCCCUCCCAGUAUAACCCAGUCCCUCCCAGUCCCAUCCCAGUCCAUCCCAGUCCUUCCCAGUAUAACCCAGUCCCAUCUCAGUCCCAUCCCAGUCCCUCCCAGUCCAUCCCAGUAUAGCCCAGUCCCAUCCCAGUAUAACCCACUUCCAUCCCAGUCCCAUCCCAGUAUAACCCAGUCCCUCCCAGUCUCUCCCAGUAUAACCCAGUUCCUCUCAAUCCCAUCCCAGUCCCUCCCAGUAUAACCCAGUAUAACCCAGUCCCAUCCCAGUAUAACCCACUUCCAUCCCAGUCUCUCCCAGUCCCUCCCAGUCCCUCCCAGUAUAACCCAGUCCCUCCCAGUCCUUCUCAGUCCCAUCCCAGUCCCUCCCAGUUCCGUCCCAGUAUAACCCAGUAUAACCCAGUCCCAUCCCAGUCGAUCCCAAUCUCAUCCCAGUCCCUCCCAGUCCCUCCCAGUAUAACCCAGUCCCUCCCAGUCCCAUCC
rnacentral:lncRNA from 1 species